rnacentral:lncRNA from 1 species
GGUGAGCUAUAAAGCCCAGUGAGCAGAAUAAUAAAACAUUCAAUUUAAAUUUCAUGCUUUCAUGGAAUGCAACACAUCACAAACAAUUCACAUCAAGGAUGAACUUGUCACCCAUAGCCCACUACUGAAUCCAAUAGUGCCAGGGGCGUAGACUGGGCCUCGCUGGUCUUUCUCUUACAUUACAUUCAUAACAUAACAUUCCAAUAUGCCAGGGGCGUAGAAUGGGCUUCACUGGUCUUUCUCUUACUGUGGUGCCAGGGGCGUAGAAUGGGCCUCACUGGUCUUCCGUACCGUAUCAUAUCAUAACGUAGUGCGGCUAAAGGAUCAUCCAACAUUCAUCCACAUCAUCAACAUAUUAUGCAAUGCAAC